UCGUCGACCGAAGCGGCAACCCUAGCGCGGCCCCCAAAACCCCAUCGUCUCCCUCCCCGUUCCCCAUCUCUUCUCACUCCUCUCUCCGCUUCCCCCCUCUUUCUCUCUCUCGGUUCAAUCUAUGCGAGCUCCAUUUUGUGUUGUUGCAUUUCUGCUUCUCGACAUCUAUAUUUUGCACCUAUCUGGAAAAUUUUGCGUUUUGUGCGGUUCAAUGAUGGCUAUGAAGUGCACAAGAGGCGAAGAGGAGGCCGAAGAUUACAGCGCGCACUGGAAUUGCAAGCGAAAAAGUUGAUCUAUGCCUGAUAGGGUAGGGUGAGUGCCAAGCAUCUUGCUAUCUAUCUCCGAGGACGACGAGGGCCUUUUCUUGUGAAUUCAUCUUAUGUCUGUCUACUGCAUAUAGCCUUGUUUCUGAUGAUAAAACAAGUGCUAGUGUCUGUUCAGUUCUUUUUCUUUUUUGGGUUUUUGGGCAGGUCUCUGUUCUGGUUGUUAAUGAUGGUUUCUGAAUUUUGUUUGAAUUUUGAGAUUCGAAGCUAUUAUUGUGUAUUCAGUUUUUUGCACAGCUAUACCUUGUGAAAGAAAUGAAUAAGCGUGCGGCAGAGUGUUAUUCUAUGGUGCAUUUUUUUCA